CAGUCGCCGCGGUAAUACAGAGGGUGCAAGCGUUAAUCGGAAUUACUGGGCGUAAAGCGCGCGUAGGUGGUUUGUUAAGUUGGAUGUGAAAUCCCCGGGCUCAACCUGGGAACUGCAUCCAAAACUGGCAAGCUAGAGUAUGGUAGAGGGUGGUGGAAUUUCCUGUGUAGCGGUGAAAUGCGUAGAUAUAGGAAGGAACACCAGUGGCGAAGGCGACCACCUGGACUGAUACUGACACUGAGGUGCGAAAGAGUGGGGAGCAAACAGGAUUAGAUACCCCUGUAGUCCCUGUCUCUUAUAC
rnacentral:rRNA from 1 species